GACGAACGCUGGCGGCGUGCUUAACACAUGCAAGUCGAACGGGAUCCAAGGGGUGCUUGCACUUUUUGGUGAGAGUGGCGCACGGGUGAGUAACACGUGAGUAACCUGUCCUUUUCUUUGGGAUAAGCAUUCGAAAGGGUGUUUAAUACCUUAUGUUCUGUCUGCCUCGCAUGGGGUGGGUGGGAAAGGCUUUGGCCGGAUUUGGGUGGGCUCGCGGUCUAUCAGCUUGUUGGUGGGGUGAUGGCUUACCAAGGCUUUGACGGGUAGCCGGCCUGAGAGGGUGGUCGGUCACAUUGGGACUGAGAUACGGCCCAGACUCCUGCGGGAGGCAGCAGUGGGGGAUAUUGCACAAUGGGCGAAAGCCUGAUGCAGCGACGCCGCGUGGGGGAUGAAGGCCUUCGGGUUGUAAACUUCUUUUGCUCUGAACAAGGCAUGCCAGUGGGUGUGUUGAGUGUAGGGGUUGAUUAGCGCCGGCUAACUACGUG
rnacentral:rRNA from 1 species